rnacentral:rRNA from 1 species
CCUACGGGGGGCAGCAGUGGGGAAUAUUGCGCAAUGGGCGAAAGCCUGACGCAGCGACGCCGCGUGAGGGAUGAAGGUCUUCGGAUCGUAAACCUCUUUCAGCAGGGAAGAACGGUCACUGUGCUAAUCAGCAGUGACUUGACGGUACCUGCAAAGGAAGCACCGGCUAACUCCGUGCCAGCAGCCUCGUUAAUACGGAGGGUGCGAGCGUUAAUCGGAAUUACUGGGCGUAAAGCGCUCGUAGGCGGUAUGUCAAGUCAAGGGUGAAAUCCCCGCGCUCAACGUGGGAACUGCCUUGGAAACUGGCAAACUGGAGUGUGUGAGAGGAUAGUGGAAUUCCAGGUGUAGGAGUGAAAUCCGUAGAUAUCUGGAGGAACAUCAGUGGCGAAGGCGACUAUCUGGCACAUAACUGACGCUGAGGAGCGAAAGCGUGGGUAGCAAACAGGAUUAGAUACCCGGGUAGUC